CAUUACGUAUAAUUCUAUAACGGGACUUGCCAGAAUCUGCCUUAUUGUCCUCUCUGUACAAACCCUCUCUCUGUCUUGAAGGGCAAGGACCACAGACUGCAUUCCGCCUGCUUUAUACAUUUAGGGUUGCUCAACAAAUUAAAGAGAGCCUAGGCCAUCCAAUUGUUCCUUAAACCUUCCCACCCCAUUAGCACCCAUCCUUGGUUCCCAAGGAGCAUUCCUAGAGGGACCCACGGCUCUCUGCCAUAUUCCUUAAGUCCCAUCCUGUCGGACCAGGGGAUGCUCAACGACUUCCGGCGCAUAGUGCUAUUUGAGUAAACACGUCUAGAUGUUGCUAUGAAGGUAUGUUUUAGAUGUGAUUAACAUUUCAAUCAGCAGAUUCUGAGGAAAGCAGAUUACCCUCGGUAACACGGAUGGGCCUCAUCCAAUCAGUUGAAGGCCCUAAAAAACCCUGCAGUUCCCUGAGGAAGAAGGAAUUCUGCCUCCGGACUGCCUUUGGACUCAAGACCGCACCAUCAACUCUUCCCUGCAUCUCUAGCUGUCGGCUUGAUUUGAAACUUGCCAGCCUCCACAGUCAAUUAGCAAGCACGUUCUCCAGACUGUAAACCUCAGAAGACAUGACCUGCCAGGGACAAAAAUUUAAGAGUUGUGGAAAAAAAACCCAGGUGAGACAUUAUUCCAAAGAUUUCAGGUCUCCUGUGUCACAGGGGCCUUGCAAAGGUGAAACAGUGUCGGUAACCUUCAAGGCACACAAAGAGGUACCAGCAAAGUUGCCCUUCUGAUGUUCAGAAUGGUACAGGUGAAGCUGCAAUCCAUAGCCUGGUGGAUUUUCGGUCCACGCCUGGCAAGAUGACUGAUCCGUCACAGGAUGGCUUUUUAACGGGGUUGAGAUUCACUACGAGCCACCACAUCUUUUUCAACAGAGAGCUUCAACAGCCACAAUACCUUGUCACUUCAGAGACACCUGGAUUUCUGCAGCUAUCUUUGUCCAUAAAUGAAUUAUGGCUAGGGCACAAGGACAAUUUAAUUAGCAGCUGAUCCGGGUUAUUGGGCUAUGUGCCAAACUUCAAGCCAACUUCUUAGAGGACUCGCUAUCCUGGGUUCCCGCGGCCGAGAGGAGGAAAGAUCUGCCCCGCCACCCACACACUGAAAAGACGACGAAGCACGGGAAGACUCCCACCUCAAAUCACCCGAGUCCCCCGAGAUUCGCAUUUAUUCUCCAAUCUACAAGGGGAGAAGCACAAUCUGAGCAGGGCUCUUAGGCAGCCUUCAAGGCUAGGUGGCUGCUGACACACCAGGAUCGAGAUCCUCUUUUGUACAGAGAAAAAAAUGCUGAAAGACAAAGGCAGACACAGACAAAGCCCAAGAAAACGUGUGUGGUUUGCGCCACCCCCCCCCACCCCCCUGCCCUGCACACUCCAGGCCAGGCCGCUCCCGGUGUUUCAGGGAGGGGAGACCCUGCACUCAGACUGGCUCCUCUUCUGAUGCGACCUGCUCCGACAUGCUGUCGUCAUUCCGGCCAACCAACGAGGAAGGCAGCAAGGCCACUUCAGCACGCGUCUGCUCCCUUCCCCGCUCCCCUGACAAGAGCUGGGCGGUCAGUCUACACACAUGGAAGACAGAGGGCACCAAAAAGCUCUGUGAAUAAAACUUUAAUAAUGUACAGCAGAAAUUGGACAGGCUCAUUCUUAUAUUAAAACAAAAGAUUUCCUAUAUUACAACUUAUUUACAUUUGCAUACUGAAGAGGUAAAGUGUCUAAGUGGCUAUUUUACAGUCCUUUCUAAUAAAAUGUACAAAAACAAA